UGCCUUACACAUGCAAGUCGAACGGCAGCACGGACUUCGGUCUGGUGGCGAGUGGCGAACGGGUGAGUAAUACAUCGGAACGUGCCUAGUAGUGGGGGAUAACUACUCGAAAGAGUGGCUAAUACCGCAUGAGAUCUACGGAUGAAAGCAGGGGAUCGCAAGACCUUGUGCUACUAGAGCGGCCGAUGGCAGAUUAGGUAGUUGGUGGGAUAAAAGCUUACCAAGCCAACGAUCUGUAGCUGGUCUGAGAGGACGAUCAGCCACACUGGGACUGAGACACGGCCCAGACUCCUACGGGAGGCAGCAGUGGGGAAUUUUGGACAAUGGGCGAAAGCCUGAUCCAGCAAUGCCGCGUGCAGGAUGAAGGCCUUCGGGUUGUAAACUGCUUUUGUACGGAACGAAAAGCUUUGGGUUAAUACCCUGGAGUCAUGACGGUACCGUAAGAAUAAGCACCGGCUAACUACGUGCCAGCAGCCGCGGUAAU
rnacentral:rRNA from 1 species